UCCCACUGUGAAGUAUGUUUGUUGAUUGCUGUAGUGCUGGAAGCAAAAAUUAACUUUUUGACUUCACACAGUUUAAAAUUAAUAGUGUCUGUCUUUCUAUAGGUCAGUAAAAAGGAAAAAAGGAAAAGUAUGGUAUAUAUAUAUACCAUAUAUUCAUCUGAGAAUGUGAUCUAUGUACUCUCAUGUCCUUGUAAUAAAUUAUAUGUUGGCAUGACAACCAGAGCCAUAAGGAUUAGAAUACAGGAACACAGAUCACGAAUUAGAAAAGGAAACACAGAAUCCACACUAUACUUACACUUUAAAGACAACACUCAUUCCUGUAACGACCUUAAGUACCUUGCCUUAGAAAAACUACAGACUCCAAUUAACACUGACAUCAAGAAGUUACUCCUCUGCAGGGAGGCUUUUUGGAUCCACAAAUUGAAGACCUUAACCCCAUAAGGCCUAAACGAUAGGCUAGAUCUCACUUGCUUCUUAUAAUGGGAUAAAAAAAUACUUAAGUCUUUACAGAACUACUGCUGAAUGCUCGCAACCUGAGGUAGAAUACUACAUGUAAGGAUCCUCCAAGGACAUAAAUAAGACAGCAGAGCAGCAAACAGAGGGAACUCCAGGAUUACCUGAAGAAGGUCUACCUGAAGAAGGUCACCGAAACUGGAUGCAUACCCGGGAGACCAGUCGUUACUAUUGACAUGGAACUUUGUUGCUAUUGAUAUGGAACUUUGAUUUACUAUUGACAUGGAACUUUGAUUUACUUUGAAUGAUCGAAUUUGAAGAAGAGUACUACAAACCUUGAGAACACUAUCAAGAUUGUAUUUGUUAAAAUUGGACAUUGAAAUAUGUACUUAUCUGUACAGUUGGAAUAUAUAAAUUGAUAUUACAGUCAUAAUAUAUGUGAUUAUAUCACUUGAGGAAA